rnacentral:rRNA from 1 species
AGAGUUGAUCAUGGCUCAGGACGAACGCUGGCGGCGUGCUUAACACAUGCAAGUCGAGCGGGGAUAUAUCAGAUGAGAGCUUCGGCAGGAUUCAGAUAUAUCCAGCGGCGGACGGGUGAGUAACGCGUGAGCAAUCUGUCCCAGACAGGGGGAUAACACUUGGAAACAGGUGCUAAUACCGCAUAAGACCACGAGGUCACAUGGCCUUGAGGUAAAAGGAGCAAUCCGGUUUGGGGUGAGCUCGCGUCCGAUUAGCUAGUUGGCGAGGUAACGGCCCACCAAGGUGACGAUCGGUAGCCGACCUGAGAGGGUGAUCGGCCACAUUGGAACUGAGACACGGUCCAAACUCCUACGGGAGGCAGCAGUGGGGAAUAUUGGGCAAUGGGCGAAAGCCUGACCCAGCAACGCCGCGUGAGGGAAGAAGGUUUUCGGAUUGUAAACCUCUGUCCUCAGGGACGAAGGAAGUGACGGUACCUGAGGAGGAAGCCCCGGCUAACUACGUGCCAGCCGCCGC